AGCUGCCGCUGUUCAUCAUCAGGUUCUCUGCUGGGGGCGUCAUUUGCCUGCGUAGCAGCUGCAUUUGCGCUACUGCGGCUGAUUUCCAUGUUGUGUGUUGCAAAUGGAUUUCGCAGCCAGUUCUCGCGUCUGACUUGGAGCAUUAUUGUUUGGAUGGCUGUCAGGCUUCUGUUGCUGUUUGGAUUGUGUUCUUCUAUCAUUGCGGCAUACCUCGGCCUGGCCAGCCUUCUUGGAAUGUAUGGGUAUGGCAUGACGGAUUUUUUGGCCAGGAGUUGCCCGGCUAACCUUGGAGCUGGAGUGUGUUGCUGCGCAGACCAUGAUAAUGCAUCAGCCAGAAGCCGCUCCAUACUUUCGUUGGCCUGUCUUGGACUCAGGGCAGAUACGAGGUAUACUGCGUCAUCAGCGUACGUUGCUAGCAUUUGGGUUGCGUUUGCGUGUCUUGGUGGCUGCGGCAUGUCAGCAG
rnacentral:sRNA from 1 species